rnacentral:rRNA from 1 species
CCUACGGGAGGCAGCAGUAGGGAAUAUUGCUCAAUGGGCGAAACCCUGAACCAGCAACGCCGCGUGGAGGAUGAAGGUUUUCGGAUUGUAAACUCCUUUUGUUAGAGAAGAUAAUGACGGUAUGUAACGAAUAAGCACCGGCUAACUCCGUGCCAGCAGCCGCGGUAAUACGGAGGGUGCAAGGGUUACUCGGAAUAACUGGGCGUAAAGAGCGCGUAGGCGGGAUAGCAAGUCAGAUGUGAAAUCCUAUGGCUUAACCAUAGAACUGCAGUUGAAACUGUGAUUCUAGAGUAUGGGAGAGGUAGGUGAAAUUCUUGGUGUGGGGGUAAAAUCGG